rnacentral:rRNA from 1 species
GGUUAAGCGACUAAGCGUACACGGUGGAUGCCCUGGCAGUCAGAGGCGAUGAAGGACGUGCUAAUCUGCGAUAAGCGUCGGUAAGGUGAUAUGAACCGUUAUAACCGGCGAUUUCCGAAUGGGGAAACCCAGUGUGAUUCGUCACACUAUCAUUAACUGAAUCCAUAGGUUAAUGAGGCGAACCGGGGGAACUGAAACAUCUAAGUACCCCGAGGAAAAGAAAUCAACCGAGAUUCCCCCAGUAGCGGCGAGCGAACGGGGAGCAGCCCAGAGCCUGAAUCAGUGUGUGUGUUAGUGGAAGCGUCUGGAAAGGCGCGCGAUACAGGGUGACAGCCCCGUACACAAAAAUGCACAUGCUGUGAGCUCGAUGAGUAGGGCGGGACACGUGGUAUCCUGUCUGAAUAUGGGGGGACCAUCCUCCAAGGCUAAAUACUCCUGACUGACCGAUAGUGAACCAGUACCGUGAGGGAAAGGCGAAAAGAACCCCGGCGAGGGGAGUGAAAAAGAACCUGAAACCGUGUACGUACAAGCAGUGGGAGCCUCUUAAUGGGGUGACUGCGUACCUUUUGUAUAAUGGGUCAGCGACUUAUAUUCUGUAGCAAGGUUAACCGAAUAGGGGAGCCGAAGGGAAACCGAGUCUUAACUGGGCGUUAAGUUGCAGGGUAUAGACCCGAAACCCGGUGAUCUAGCCAUGGGCAGGUUGAAGGUUGGGUAACACUAACUGGAGGACCGAACCGACUAAUGUUGAAAAAUUAGCGGAUGACUUGUGGCUGGGGGUGAAAGGCCAAUCAAACCGGGAGAUAGCUGGUUCUCCCCGAAAGCUAUUUAGGUAGCGCCUCGUGAAUUCAUCUCCGGGGGUAGAGCACUGUUUCGGCAAGGGGGUCAUCCCGACUUACCAACCCGAUGCAAACUGCGAAUACCGGAGAAUGUUAUCACGGGAGACACACGGCGGGUGCUAACGUCCGUCGUGAAGAGGGAAACAACCCAGACCGCCAGCUAAGGUCCCAAAGUCAUGGUUAAGUGGGAAACGAUGUGGGAAGGCCCAGACAGCCAGGAUGUUGGCUUAGAAGCAGCCAUCAUUUAAAGAAAGCGUAAUAGCUCACUGGUCGAGUCGGCCUGCGCGGAAGAUGUAACGGGGCUAAACCAUGCACCGAAGCUGCGGCAGCGACACUAUGUGUUGUUGGGUAGGGGAGCGUUCUGUAAGCCUGCGAAGGUGUACUGUGAGGUAUGCUGGAGGUAUCAGAAGUGCGAAUGCUGACAUAAGUAACGAUAAAGCGGGUGAAAAGCCCGCUCGCCGGAAGACCAAGGGUUCCUGUCCAACGUUAAUCGGGGCAGGGUGAGUCGACCCCUAAGGCGAGGCCGAAAGGCGUAGUCGAUGGGAAACAGGUUAAUAUUCCUGUACUUGGUGUUACUGCGAAGGGGGGACGGAGAAGGCUAUGUUGGCCGGGCGACGGUUGUCCCGGUUUAAGCGUGUAGGCUGGUUUUCCAGGCAAAUCCGGAAAAUCAAGGCUGAGGCGUGAUGACGAGGCACUACGGUGCUGAAGCAACAAAUGCCCUGCUUCCAGGAAAAGCCUCUAAGCAUCAGGUAACAUCAAAUCGUACCCCAAACCGACACAGGUGGUCAGGUAGAGAAUACCAAGGCGCUUGAGAGAACUCGGGUGAAGGAACUAGGCAAAAUGGUGCCGUAACUUCGGGAGAAGGCACGCUGAUAUGUAGGUGAAGUCCCUUGCGGAUGGAGCUGAAAUCAGUCGAAGAUACCAGCUGGCUGCAACUGUUUAUUAAAAACACAGCACUGUGCAAACACGAAAGUGGACGUAUACGGUGUGACGCCUGCCCGGUGCCGGAAGGUUAAUUGAUGGGGUUAGCGGUAACGCGAAGCUCUUGAUCGAAGCCCCGGUAAACGGCGGCCGUAACUAUAACGGUCCUAAGGUAGCGAAAUUCCUUGUCGGGUAAGUUCCGACCUGCACGAAUGGCGUAAUGAUGGCCAGGCUGUCUCCACCCGAGACUCAGUGAAAUUGAACUCGCUGUGAAGAUGCAGUGUACCCGCGGCAAGACGGAAAGACCCCGUGAACCUUUACUAUAGCUUGACACUGAACAUUGAGCCUUGAUGUGUAGGAUAGGUGGGAGGCUUUGAAGUGUGGACGCCAGUCUGCAUGGAGCCGACCUUGAAAUACCACCCUUUAAUGUUUGAUGUUCUAACGUUGGCCCCUGAUCGGGGUUGCGGACAGUGUCUGGUGGGUAGUUUGACUGGGGCGGUCUCCUCCUAAAGAGUAACGGAGGAGCACGAAGGUUGGCUAAUCCUGGUCGGACAUCAGGAGGUUAGUGCAAUGGCAUAAGCCAGCUUGACUGCGAGCGUGACGGCGCGAGCAGGUGCGAAAGCAGGUCAUAGUGAUCCGGUGGUUCUGAAUGGAAGGGCCAUCGCUCAACGGAUAAAAGGUACUCCGGGGAUAACAGGCUGAUACCGCCCAAGAGUUCAUAUCGACGGCGGUGUUUGGCACCUCGAUGUCGGCUCAUCACAUCCUGGGGCUGAAGUAGGUCCCAAGGGUAUGGCUGUUCGCCAUUUAAAGUGGUACGCGAGCUGGGUUUAGAACGUCGUGAGACAGUUCGGUCCCUAUCUGCCGUGGGCGCUGGAGAACUGAGGGGGGCUGCUCCUAGUACGAGAGGACCGGAGUGGACGCAUCACUGGUGUUCGGGUUGUCAUGCCAAUGGCACUGCCCGGUAGCUAAAUGCGGAAGAGAUAAGUGCUGAAAGCAUCUAAGCACGAAACUUGCCCCGAGAUGAGUUCUCCCUGACUCCCUGAGAGUCCUGAAGGAACGUUGAAGACGACGACGUUGAUAGGCCGGGUGUGUAAGCGCAGCGAUGCGUUGAGCUAACCGGUACUAAUGAACCGUGAGGCUUAACCUU